rnacentral:rRNA from 1 species
UACGAAGGGGGCUAGCGUUGCUCGGAAUCACUGGGCGCAAAGCGCACGUAGGCGGAUCUUUAAGUCAGAGGUGAAAUCCCAAGGCUCAACCUUGGAACUGCCUUUGAUACUGGGGAUCUCGAGUCCGGAAGAGGUGAGUGGAACUGCGAGUGUAGAGGUGAAAUUCGUAGAUAUUCGCAAGAACACCAGUGGCGAAGGCGGCUCACUGGUCCGGUACUGACGCUGAGGUGCGAAAGCGUGGGGAGCAAACAGG